CUUCACCGGUUGGAUUUCUACCUGUCUUCCCCCCGUCAAGCUGCACCAGUGGGAUUCCUGCCUGCUUCCUCCUGGAAGGCAAGGAUGGCAGGCAGGAGUCCACCAGGUAGAGCGCGAGGCUUUAGGGAGAAAUCCGCCCCGAGAGCUUCACCAGUUGAAUUCCUGCCCGCCGGCAGGCCGGUAUCACACAGGUCAAGCUUCCCUAUGGGAUUCUAGGGGAGGAAUUGCAUUGAGAGGGGAAUCCAGAUCAGGCAGGAAUUCAACAGGUAGAGCAGAUUCAUCAAUAGAUCAGGCAGGAAUUCAACAGGUUGAUCAGGCAGGAAUUCAUCAAUAGAUCAGGCAGAAAUUCAACAGGUAGAUCAGGCAGGUAGAUCAGGCAGCGAUUCAUCAGGUAGAGCAGAUUCAUCAAUAGAUGAGGCAGCGAUUCAACAGGUAGAUCAGGCAGCCAUUCACCAGGUAGAUCAGGCAGGAAUUCACCAGGUUAAUCAGGCAGGAAUUCAUCAAUAGAUCAGGCAGAAAUUCAACAGGUAGAUCAGGCAGUUAGAUCAGGCAGCGAUUCACCAGGUAGAUAUUGAAUAGAUCAGGCAGCAAUUCACGAGGUAGAUAGUGAAUAGAUCAGGCAGCAAUUCACCAGGUAGAGCAUGCAGGUAGAUCAGGCAGCAAUUCAUCAGGUAGAUCAGGCAGGAAUUCAUCAGGCAAAUAUCAAUAAAUCAGGCAGAAAUUCACCAGGUAGAUCAGGCAGGUAGAUCAGGCAAAAAUUCACCAGGUAGAUAUUGAAUAGAUCAGGCAGCAAUUCCCCAGGUAGAUCAGGCAGCAAUUCCCCAGGUUGAAAUUGAAUAGAUCAGGCAGCAAUUCACCAGGUUAAUCAGGCAAGAAUUCAUCAGGCAGAUAUCAAUAAAUCAGGCAGAAAUUCACCAGGUAGAGCAGAUUCAUCAACAGAUCAGGCAGCAAUUCAUCAGGUAGAUCAGGCAGGAAUUCAUCAGGCAGAUAUCAAUAAAUCAGGCAGAAAUUCACCAGGUAGAUCAGGCAGGAAUUCAUCAAUAGGUCAGGCAGCGAUUCAACAGGUAGAUCAGGCAGAAAUUCACCAGGUAGACCAGGCAGCGAUUCAACAGGUAGAUCAGGCAGGAAUUCACCAGGCAGAUCAGGCAGGAAUUCAUCAAUAGAUCAGGCAGAAAUUCACUAGGUAGAUCAGGCAGGAAUUCAUCAGGUAGAUCAGGCAGCAAUUCACCAGGUAGAUCAGGCAGCGAUUCACCAGGUAGAUCAGGCAGCAAUUCAUCAGGUAGAUCAGGCAGCAAUUCACCAGGUAGAUAUCAAUAGAUCAGGCAGCAAUUCACCAGGCAGAUCAGGAAGAAAUUCACCAGGUAGAUAUUGAAUAGAUCAGGCAGAAAUUCACCAGGUAGAUCAGGCAGGUAGAUCAGGCAGCAAUACACCAGGUAGAUCAGGCAAGAUAGCAAUAAAUCAGGCAGAAAUUCAACAGGUAGAUCAGGCAGCGAUUCAGCAGGUAGAUCAGGCAGCAAUUCAUCAGGUAGAUCAGGCAGGAAUUCACCAGGUUAAUCAGGCAAGAAUUCAUCAGGCAGAUAUCAAUAAAUCAGGCAGAAAUUCACCAGGUAGAUCAGGCAGGUAGAUCAGGCAGCGAUUCAUGAGGUAGAUCAGGCAGAAAUUCACCAGGUAGAUAUUGAAUAGAUCAGGCAGCAAUUCCCCAGGUAGAUAUUGAAUAGAUCAGGCAGAAAUUCACCAGGAAGAUCAGGCAGGAAUUGAACAGGUAGAUCAGGCAGAAAUUCACCAGGUAGAUCAGGCAGGAAUUCACCAGGUAGAUCAGGCAGGAAUUCAUCAAUAGAUCAGGCAGAAAUUCAACAGGUAGAUCAGGCAGGUAGAUCAGGCAGCAAUUCACCAGGUAGAUCAGGCAGAAAUUCACCAGGUAGAUCAGGCAGCAAUUCACCAGGUUGAUAUUGAAUAGAUCAGGCAGCAAUUCCCCAGGUAGAUCAUGCAGGUAGAUCAGGCCGCAAUCCACCAGGUAGAGCGCAAAGAUCAGGCCGCCGUUCCCCAACAGAUCAGGCCGCAAUCCACCAGGUAGAGCGCGAAAAUUUCCCUCCCCUUCGUACCUAAAUCCCCAUUAAUUCAGGCAGAAAUCCCACCGGAAAAGCCCGUUUUUCAGACCAGCUUCACCUGUUGAACUCCUGCCUGCCGACAGCAAUUCCCCAACAGAUCAGGCCGCAAUCCACCAGGUAGAGCGCGAAGCUUUUCCUCCCUUGAAUACCCAAAUCCCCAUUAAUUCAGGCAGAAAUCUCACAGGUAAAGCCAAUUUUCAGACAGAAAUCUCACUGGUAAAGCCAAUUUUCAGGCAGAUAUCCCACCGGAAAAGCCAAUUUUUCAGACUCCCCUUUAAUACCUAAAUUCCCAUUAAUUCAGGCAGAAAUCUCACUGGCAAAGCCAAUUUUCAGGCAGAAAU
rnacentral:lncRNA from 1 species